UUUUAUGGAGAGUUUGAUCCUGGCUCAGGAUGAACGCUGGCGGCGUGCCUAAUACAUGCAAGUCGAGCGAACGGACGAGAAGCUUGCUUCUCUGAUGUUAGCGGCGGACGGGUGAGUAACACGUGGAUAACCUACCUAUAAGACUGGGAUAACUUCGGGAAACCGGAGCUAAUACCGGAUAAUAUUUUGAACCGCAUGGUUCAAAAGUGAAAGACGGUCUUGCUGUCACUUAUAGAUGGAUCCGCGCUGCAUUAGCUAGUUGGUAAGGUAACGGCUUACCAAGGCAACGAUGCAUAGCCGACCUGAGAGGGUGAUCGGCCACACUGGAACUGAGACACGGUCCAGACUCCUACGGGAGGCAGCAGUAGGGAAUCUUCCGC
rnacentral:rRNA from 2 species